rnacentral:rRNA from 1 species
GGACAUGCGUAGCGGAAAGGGGGUCUCAUCUCCUCGAGCCCCGCGGCGCCGGCGCGAUCUAGACCGUCUUCGUCCGGCCUCCCUCGCGGAGGUUUCCGGCUCCGAAGAAGGCUAUCGUGUCGGCGGACGACGGGGAAAGGGGGGUGGAUUUCCCUCCUUAGUACGCGGUCGCGGCCGCUCGGAGGUUGUCCGUGAUCGGGAGCUCGGGAACCGAGCCGCCUUCGGCCUCCCUCUCGCGGGGGGGAGGUACGGAGCCGCGGAUCGGGGACGCUCCUCGAAUUCUGACGGACUCUCGAACGGUUCGCCAUAGAAGGGGCCCCUCUUCUCCCUCCCUCCUUCUUGAAGGAGGGAGGGGAGGGGGUGUAAUAAUUGUCGGCCCUUUNNNNNNNNNNNNNNNNNNNNNNNNNNNNCGCGCGCGCGCGCUCCGCUCUUUCCUCCCCUCUUGAAAAAGAGGGGAGGGGGGUAGGGUGCGUCGUCGUCGUUGUCUGUGUCGGGACGAUAGCGACGGUAGUAUAACGGGGCGGUGGUUCGGCGGUAGUAGUAAGGGGGUUCCGUUGGGCCGAUCCGAGCUCCUUCCUAUCAAAUUUAUUUUUAUUUUUUAGGGGGACCGGCGCAGGCCCGGGGCUCGUCGCUACCCUCUCGUUGCCCUUCUCGGGGCUUCGUGACGGGCGGCGGGCACCUCGAGCGUACAUGCUAGUACCCGAAAGAUGGUGAUCUAUGCCUGGCCAGGACGAAGCCAGAGGAAACUCUGGUGGAGGUCC